rnacentral:rRNA from 1 species
UACGGAGGGAGCUAGCGUUGUUCGGAAUUACUGGGCGUAAAGCGUACGUAGGCGGUUACUCAAGUCAGAGGUGAAAGCCCGGGGCUCAACCCCGGAACUGCCUUUGAAACUAGGUAGCUAGAAUCUUGGAGAGGUCAGUGGAAUUCCGAGUGUAGAGGUGAAAUUCGUAGAUAUUCGGAAGAACACCAGUGGCGAAGGCGACUGACUGGACAAGUAUUGACGCUGAUGUGCGAAAGCGUGGGGAGCAAACAGG